rnacentral:rRNA from 1 species
GAUGAACGCUAGCGGCAGGCCUAAUACAUGCAAGUCGAACGGUGUCUUCGGACAUAGUGGCGCACGGGUGCGUAACAUGUAUGCAACCUACCUUACAUUGGGGGAUAGCCUUUCGAAAGGGAGAUUAAUACCGCAUAAGACAGUAGCUGGGCAUCCAGCAGCUGUUAAAGAUUUAUCGAUGUAAGCUGGGCAUGCGUCCAAUUAGCUAGUUGGUGAGGUAGCGGCUCACCAAGGCAAUGAUUGGUAGGGGAACUGAGAGGUCAAUCCCCCACACUGGCACUGAGAUACGGGCCAGACUCCUACGGGAGGCAGCAGUAGGGAAUAUUGGGAAAUGGACGCAAGUCUGACCCAGCCAUGCCGCGUGCAGGAUGAAGGCGUUAUGCGUUGUAAACUGCUUUUAUACAGGAAGAAACGACUCUUGCGAGAGGCAUUGACGGUACUGUAUGAAUAAGCACCGGCUAACUCCGUGCCAGCCGCCGCUGUAAGAC